UGGGGAAUCUUGGACAAUGGGCGAAAGCCUGAUCCAGCGACGCCGCGUGGGUGACGAAGGCCUUCGGGUUGUAAAGCCCUUUUCCCGGGGACGAUGGUGACGGUACCCGGGGAACAAGCACCGGCCAACUCCGUGCCAGCAGCCGCGGUAAGACGGAGGGUGCGAGCGUUGUUCGGAAUCACUGGGCGUAAAGGGCGCGUAGGCGGCCGCGCGUGUCGGGUGUGAAAGCCCGGGGCUCAACCCCGGAAC
rnacentral:rRNA from 1 species